ACACAUCCCCCUUUCAUUAGUUUUUUAUAACGUCUCCCUACCCCUUGAGUUGGUUUAUGGUAUACCCUCUUGGAGUUUAUUUAGGACAUCUUCCUUUCUCCAGUUUGUUUAGGACAUCUUCCUUCAGUGACUUUGUUUAAGGCAUCUCCCAUACUCAAGUCUUAUAAAGGCAUUCCCCUUCCUUGAGUUUGUGUGUGGCAUCC
rnacentral:lncRNA from 1 species